UUGUAGAUGAUUGAAUACUGCUGUUAUUACUUUGACUGCUGUAUGUAAUCUGACAUGUUGACUGUGUCUGUGCUGACAGGAGGAUGGCCCGAGUUUGAGAUCCACAGGACUCAGCUCUGAAUGUGCAGAUGUCGAUGGUAGCAGUGAGCCUGAACAUGAGGAGGAGGCAAAAAGUCGCCAUAUGCUUUAUAUACAGAAGCUCAAAUCACACCAUGACAUGUGUGAAAAGCGCUACGAGGCGC